ensembl:lncRNA
AGAGAGAGAGAAGAGACAGAGAGAGAGAGACAGAGACAGAGAGAGAAGAGACAGAGAGAGAGAGGGACAGAGAGAGAGAGGGAGAGAGAGAAGAGAGAAGAGAGAGAGAGAGAGAGAGAGAGAGAGAAGAGAGAAGAGAGAGACUAACGAUGAGCCCGAAAUGACACCAUAUUCCCUCCAUCUUUGACCAGAGCCCUAUGGGGCCGCAUGGUCAAAGGUAGUGCACUAUGUAGGGAAUAACGUGCCAUUUAGGACAGAGAAAGUGAAGGGGACACAUGCAACUUCUCUCCCCAAUAAAAUACGUUCAUGACGGUUUUAUACAGCAUUAGCUGGGGCUGAAAUCAUGGAAAGAUACAGUAGAGCUGAGAGGAAGACAUCCAUCAUCUAGAGGUUAAAGAUAAUGUAGAGCUGAGAGGAGAACAUCCAUUAUCUAGAGGUUAAAGAUAAUGUAGAGCUGAGAGGAGAACAUCUAUCAUCUAGAGGUUAAAGAUAAUGUAGAGCUGAGAGGAAAACAUCCAUCAUCUAGAGGUUAAAGAUAAUGUAGCGCUGAGAGGAGAACAUCUAUCUUUUAGAGGUUAAAGAUAAUGUAGAGCUGAGAGGACAUCCAUCAUCUAGAGGUUAAAGAUAAUGUAGAGCUGAGAGGAGAACACCCAUCAUCUAGAGGUUAAAGAUAAUGUAGAGCUGAGAGGAGAACAUCUAUCAUCUAGAGGUUAAAGAUAAUGUAGAGCUGAGAGGAAAACAUCCAUCAUCUAGAGGUUAAAGAUAAUGUAGAGCUGAGAGGAAAAUAUCCAUCAUCUAGAGGUUAAAGAUAAUGUAGAGCUGAGAUGAAAACAUCCAUCAUCUAGAGGUUAAAGAUAAUGUAGCGCUGAGAGGAGGACAUCCAUUAUCUAGAGGUUAAAGAUAAUGUAGGGCUGAGAGGAAAACAUCCAUCAUCUAGAGGUUAAAGAUAAUGUAGAGCUGAGAUGAAAACAUCUGUCAUCUAGAGGUUAAAGAUAAUGUAGCGCUCAGAGGAGAACAUCUAUCUUCUACAGGUUAAAGAUAAUGUAGGGCUGAGAGGAGAACAUCCAUUAUCUAGAAGAAAUGAAGUAUUUGAUUUGCUCUACUCUAAUGAAGAGCAACAGAGAGAGAGGAGAAGAUCCUCCCCAGCAGGUGGCUAGGCUAAAGGGACGUCAUACCACUACAAUAGAGGCCCGGGGCAUUUGGGAUGCAGAGCCUCUGCUGACAUCACCCUGACCAAAGAUAGACCUCACUGCUUCAGUGGAAGGCCGUCAGAAUAUAAACUUUCUAGACCCUACAUGGGAUUCUGUCCACCUGACCUUUAACCUUUAACUAGAGUUGUUAAUUUCCAUGAACUUUAAUCAAAUUCUCCAGGCGCCCUGGUCAAAAGUAGUGCACUAUGUAGGGAAUCGG